rnacentral:rRNA from 1 species
CAGCAGCCGCCACGGUAAUACGAAGGGGGCUAGCGUUGUUCGGAUUAACUGGGCGUAAAGGGCGCGCAGGCGGGUCUUUAAGUCAGGGGUGAAAUCCCAAGGCUCAACCUUGGAACUGCCUUUGAUACUGGAGAUCUUGAGUCCGGGAGAGGUGAGUGGAACUGCGAGUGUAGAGGUGAAAUUCGUAGAUAUUCGCAAGAACACCAGUGGCGAAGGCGGCUCACUGGCCCGGUACUGACGCUGAGGCGCGAAAGCGUGGGGAGCAAACAGGAUUAGAUACCCGGGUAGUCCCUGUCUCUUAUAC